UGCUUUAAAAUCAUUUUUUGCUUAAAAAAAACAUUUUAACUUUGAUUUUGUUUAAAAAAAACCCUAAAGUUUUGAGAUUCCCUCACUCUCGCCUCCGCUCUUCGCCGAAAGGCCUAUGCCCAAGCCUUCAACCGCCCCAAAAGCCCUUGCGAUCAGCGAAGCAGGGUCCUCCGAUGGUGUGAGCACAAUGCGCGGUGAGUCCCUCUCUUUCUCUCCUAUCUUUAGUUCGUGUUGUGGAUCCAAAUGGGAAAGGAAAAAAAUGGAAAAAGAAGAAACAAAAUAAAGCUGCAGUAGAUAAUCACCUUUGAAAAUAUUCUUUGGUUGUUUUCUAUUGAUUUUUGUGUGUAUUUUGUAUACAAUCGGUAACCUAUUUCUCUGACAAAAAAGAAGAAAACCACCCCCCUUUUACAAUGAAAGAUUGAAGGCUUUAUAGCCAAAUACAAUACAGUUUCUACCUAUUUCUUUGCUCAAAUUGCAGGUACUGUGAUGUUGUAGAGGAGUGCAUGAUCGUGGGGCGUGGACGUGCGAGCUAGGGGUCGUGCGUGGGCGUGUCGAUGUGCGUGGUGGAGAGGCGUAGAACGUGGGGGCUACAGCGCAAGGAGAAAGAAGGGUUUGUUGUUUCUGAAAAAAAAAAUUUGGGUCAUUGGGCUUGUGUAGUUGGGUAUUAGGCCAUUGUAAAAUUUUGGGCCUUGGAUUUAUUUUGUAUGUUUUGGGUUUGUUGGGCCCGGGCGAAAAUUAGGCCCUACAAAUUAUAUUUAGUUAAUUAAAAAUUAAUUAAUUUACUUGGCUGGACAUCCACAUUUGCCUCUAAAAUCUAUUUUAACUGUUACGUCAGACUGUCGUAUGGGAAGUAAUAGAUCUUAACGGCAACGUGACCAUUUUGUAACAAAACGUUAACGUAAGUAAUUAAAAUGUAACAUUUCAAACAUAAAUAACUAAAAUAUAACCUAAAGCAAAUAAAAAUGACUAUUUUAAUAAUUUACUCUAAAUAUUAAGCCUUCAGAGUUUGUGAACUCUUAUUUAGAAAAUUAAUUAAUUAAUUAAAAUAAAAUUAUACAUGAAAAAAUAUGAUAUAAAAAACAUAUUCACUAAAAGUUUAUAUAUAAACCAAAUGAAAUUUUAGUUAAAGUAAGAAAGUUUGAUGUUUAAAAUUAUAAUGGAGUUGAUGUUGUAUUGAG
rnacentral:lncRNA from 1 species